rnacentral:rRNA from 1 species
GGGUUGUGAGGUUAAGCGACCAAGCGUACACGGUGGAUGCCCUGGCAGUCAGAGGCGAUGAAGGACGUGCUAAUCUGCGAAAAGCGCCGGUAAGGUGAUAUGAACCGUUAUAACCGGCGAUGUCCGAAUGGGGAAACCCAGUGUGACUCGUCACACUAUCAUUAACUGAAUCCAUAGGUUAAUGAGGCGAACCGGGGGAACUGAAACAUCUAAGUACCCCGAGGAAAAGAAAUCAACCGAGAUUCCCCCAGUAGCGGCGAGCGAACGGGGAGGAGCCCAGAGCCUGAAUCAGUAUGUGUGUUAGUGGAAGCGUCUGGAAAGGCGCGCGAUACAGGGUGACAGCCCCGUACACAAAAGCGCAUGUGCUGUGAGCUCGAUGAGUAGGGCGGGACACGUGGUAUCCUGUCUGAAUAUGGGGGGACCAUCCUCCAAGGCUAAAUACUCCUGACUGACCGAUAGUGAACCAGUACCGUGAGGGAAAGGCGAAAAGAACCCCGGCGAGGGGAGUGAAAAAGAACCUGAAACCGUGUACGUACAAGCAGUGGGAGCACAGGUUUACCUGUGUGACUGCGUACCUUUUGUAUAAUGGGUCAGCGACUUAUAUUCUGUAGCAAGGUUAACCGUAUAGGGGAGCCGGAGGGAAACCGAGUCUUAAUUGGGCGUUAAGUUGCAGGGUAUAGACCCGAAACCCGGUGAUCUAGCCAUGGGCAGGUUGAAGGUUGGGUAACACUAACUGGAGGACCGAACCGACUAAUGUUGAAAAAUUAGCGGAUGACCUGUGGCUGGGGGUGAAAGGCCAAUCAAACCGGGAGAUAGCUGGUUCUCCCCGAAAGCUAUUUAGGUAGCGCCUCGUGAAUUCAUCUCCGGGGGUAGAGCACUGUUUCGGCCAGGGGGCCAUCCCGGCUUACCAA